rnacentral:rRNA from 1 species
UGUGUGUUAGUGGAAGCGUCUGGAAAGUCGCGCAGCAAAGGGUGAUAGCCCCGUACACUAAAAUGCACAGGUCGUGAGUUCGAUGAGUAGGGCGGGACACGUGACAUCCUGUCUGAAUAUGGGGGGACCAUCCUCCAAGGCUAAAUACUCCUGACUGACCGAUAGUGAACCAGUACCGUGAGGGAAAGGCGAAAAGAACCCCGGCGAGGGGAGUGAAAUAGAACCUGAAACCGUGUACGUACAAGCAGUGGGAGCACCUUCGUGGUGUGACUGCGUACCUUUUGUAUAAUGGGUCAGCGACUUAUAUUUUGUAGCAAGGUUAACCGUAUAGGGGAGCCGUAGGGAAACCGAGUCUUAACUGGGCGAUUAGUUGCAAGGUAUAGACCCGAAACCCGGUGAUCUAGCCAUGGGCAGGUUGAAGGUUGGGUAACACUAACUGGAGGACCGAACCGACUAAUGUUGAAAAAUUAGCGGAUGACUUGUGGCUGGGGGUGAAAGGCCAAUCAAACCGGGAGAUAGCUGGUUCUCCCCGAAAGCUAUUUAGGUAGCGCCUCGUGAACUCAUCUUCGGGGGUAGAGCACUGUUUCGGCUAGGGGGCCAUCCCGGCUUACCAAACCGAUGCAAACUCCGAAUACCGAAGAAUGUUAUCACGGGAGACACACGGCGGGUGCUAACGUCCGUCGUGAAGAGGGAAACAACCCAGACCGCCAGCUAAGGUCCCAAAGUCAUGGUUAAGUGGGAAACGAUGUGGGAAGGCA